ACUAAUCCAUGAAGAUCAAUACGCCCUGCACAUAGUCCGCAAGAAAAUUCCGCCAUGAUUGCGCACGUUCAGAAAAUUUUCGCUUUGUUCGUUACGAUAUUCGCUAUUGUCAGUGCUCAAGAGAGCAUAAAUCCACACGAGGGUUUCAACGUCUUUCUGCACGCUGGUAUAGCUUUAUUAAUGAGCUUCGGUAUCUUAGCAUCAUGCGCAGUUGGUGUAAAUGUCCUCAGUAAAUAUUGCGCUAAACGUAUUGGCAAAGCCGAAUAAAAAGUAAGUAACGAUUAAGAGAUGCAUUUAAUUUUACUCUUUAUAGAAUAUAUAUGUGCAUACAGUAUUUUUAAAUAUCAUACAAUAAAUGAGAUAAUAUAUAUUAUUCCAUAAUUUUCAGACUCAUCCCACCGAUAUCGUAGAGAUUUCAAGGAAAUUGUGUGAUUUAGUUGUUUUUUCCUAGCUAUAUUGACUUAUUACGCAUAAAAAGGAUAUAAAUUAUUAUAGAGCAUGUUUUUUUAAUUGUUAAAAAACACUAUUUUAGUAUCUUGUUUAGACCUUUUACCAAUUUUUGUUUGUUUAUAUAUCGUCCAUUGCAUUGUUAUAUUCAGAGAAGAAAAAGUUGGAACAAACCUAUAUAAUAAGAUAAGUCAAAAAAUGUUCUUAAGAAAAUUUAAAUAAUACAAUUUAAAAUGAACACUGCUGAAGAAUUUUUGACAUUACGU
rnacentral:misc_RNA from 1 species